rnacentral:rRNA from 1 species
AUUGAACGCUGGCGGCAUGCUUUACACAUGCAAGUCGAACGGUAACAGGCCGCAAGGUGCUGACGAGUGGCGAACGGGUGAGUAAUGCAUCGGAACGUGCCCAGUCGUGGGGGAUAACUACUCGAAAGAGUAGCUAAUACCGCAUACGAUCUAUGGAUGAAAGCGGGGGACCGUAAGGCCUCGCGCGAUUUGAGCGGCCGAUGUCAGAUUAGGUAGUUGGUGGGGUAAAGGCUCACCAAGCCCACGAUCUGUAGCUGGUCUGAGAGGACAACCAGCCACACUGGGACUGAGACACGGCCCAGACUCCUACGGGAGGCAGCAGUGGGGAAUUUUGGACAAUGGGCGCAAGCCUGAUCCAGCAAUGCCGCGUGCAGGAAGAAGGCCUUCGGGUUGUAAACUGCUUUUGUACGGAACGAAACGGCUCUGGUUAAUACCCGGGGCUAAUGACGGUACCGUAAGAAUAAGCACCGGCUAACUACGUG